AACGCGAAGAACCUUACCAGGUCUUGACAUCCCUUGACAACGCUAGAAAUAGCGCGUUCCCUUCGGGGACAAGGUGACAGGUGGUGCAUGGUUGUCGUCAGCUCGUGUCGUGAGAUGUUGGGUUAAGUCCCGCAACGAGCGCAACCCUUAUUAUUAGUUGCCAGCAUUCAGUUGGGCACUCUAGUGAGACUGCCGGUGAUAAACCGGAGGAAGGUGGGGAUGACGUCAAAUCAUCAUGCCCCUUAUGACCUGGGCUACACACGUGCUACAAUGGCAUAUACAACGAGUCGCUAACCUGCGAAGGUACGCUAAUCUCUUAAAGUAUGUCUCAGUUCGGAUUGUAGGCUGCAACUCGCCUACAUGAAGUCGGAAUCGCUAGUAAUCGCGGAUCAGCACGCCGCGGUGAAUACGUUCCCGGGUCUUGUACACACGC
rnacentral:rRNA from 1 species